ensembl:lncRNA
GAUAGGAUGACUCUAAAACUGACGACACAGAAACCCCAAAGGAGCCGAUAGCAAGUACAAGUCAAGAAAACAAAGAUGACGACCUCCCCGUGCCCGAUGACGCUGAGAAAGCGACGCCCACUGGGGCGGUGCAGGCGCUGCCGUCAUGCCAAACGCAGAGCGACAGCGGCGGUGCUGCAGAGGAAGAAGAAACGCUGAUCCACGCAGCAUCAAGCAAACCGGCUGCUGGACACGCUACCAAGUCUCUUUCUUCAGCGUCUUCGUCGAUGGCGUCCUCUGGGUCCUUAACGCUGUCCCCCGGUCGAGCAAAGAUGAGUGUUAGCGGCCCCUCUGGGAGUAAAUCCUCUCCUCCGCUCGCUCCAUCCUCCUCUCCUUCCACUUCUGCCUCCCCGUCUGUUUCCCCUGGCCCGCCCAAGAUCCACCGGGCCCGCAAGACCAUGAGCAAACCUUCUAUCGGGCAGCACACGAGUUUUGGAGAAACUGCUUCAGCAUCCCAGACCCCGUCAGGAUCUCCCCGCCUCAUUUCUGACCCUGAAAGCGCGGUCUUAAAAAAGAGGAAGCUGGGUCAUUUAUCAGACAGCCGGUGUGAAAACAUUCCAGAUCAUUCUCAGACUGAUGAGACGUUGUUUCAUAAGAAGGCAGAAGCUGCUGUGGUGAAAAGCAAAAGGAAGAGCGGAGAUGAAGGAGGAGAACGGAGCCACAGCUCCACUCCAUCGGCUCAAGAUCCUGGAAACUUUCAAAACGGAGUCAAUGCAAACGAGCGAUCGAAUGAAACUGAGGAGCAUUGUUUAGAGACUGAAACGCCGAAAAGCGUCCGGAAUGACGGCGAGGAGUCUUCGUGGUCGCUGUCAGGUCGGGGCAGAAAGAGAAGCUCUGCUGACCUGGCGGAGACGGAGGAAGAAGAACGAGCCGACGAAUACACCGAGGUUCCUUUGGGUGACCUGGACCUCGCAGCUGCUGACAGUCUGACUCUGUCCCCUCCUCCUGAAGGAAGCGACGCCGGCGACACGGAGCGGCUGGAGGAGCUUCCUCUCUGCAGCUGCAGGAUGGAAGCUCCUCGGAUCGACAGCAGCGGCCAGCGCAGCAGCAGACAGUGCAUGGCCACGGAGAGCAUCAACGGAGAGCUGCGGGCGUGCACCAGCUGGACGGUGAAAGGCGAGACCAUGCGACCGUCCAGCCGCGUCUCCCUCAUGGUGCUCUGCGACGUCCAUCGCUCACACAUGGUCAAACACCACUGCUGUCCGGGCUGUGGGUACUUCUGCAUCGCAGGCACGUUUCUGGAGUGCUGUCCCGACCAGCGCAUCGCGCACCGCUUCCACCGCGGCUGCGUGACCGUGCUGAGCAGCGGGCGCAGCCGCGCCAACGGCGGCGGCAUGAUCUUCUGCCCCCACUGCGGGGAGGACGCCUCGGAGGCCCAGGAGAUCACCCUCCCGUCCUCCAGCGCCGCCGCCACCGUCGUCACCAUGUCCGCCUCCUCCACCACCACGCCGUCGCUGCCCCUGCCGCCCCCUCCGGCCCCUCCCUCAACGAGGAAGAAGUUGAGGUUUCACCCUCGACAACUCUAUCCAGCCGCCAAGCAAGGGGAGGGGCAAAGAGUUCUGCUGAUGCUGAUGGAGGGAAUCGAUCCCACGUACCAGCCGGACUCCCAGAAUCGGCGCUCCGCUCUACACGCUGCAGCUCAAAGAGGUUUACUGGAGAUCUGCUACAUGCUGAUACAGGCCGGCGCCAACGUGGACGCCAAGGACAAAGAAAUGAGGACUCCUCUGCUGGAGGCCGUCAUCAACAACCACGUGGAGGUGGCCCGCUACCUGGUCCAGAGCGGAGCCUGCGUCUAUCACGAGGACGACGGAUACACCGGCCUUCACCACGCCGCCAAGCUGGGGAACCUGGAAAUCGUUAACAUGCUUCUGGAGACGGGCCAGGUGGACGUGAACGCACAGGACAACGGGGGCUGGACGCCCAUCAUCUGGGCUGCCGAGCACAAACACGUGGAGGUGAUCAAGGCUCUGCUGAACCGAGGAGCAGACGUCUCCAUCACGGAUAAGGAGAUGAACGUUUGUCUCCACUGGGCGGCGUACGCGGGAAGUGUGGACAUCGCCGAGAUGGUGUUGAACUCCGGCUGCUCGCUCGCCUCCGUCAACGUCCACGGCGACACGCCGCUGCACAUCGCCGCCAGGGAGGGAUACCUGGACUGUGUGACGUUGUUCCUCAGCAGAGGUGCAGACAUCGACAUCAUGAACAAAGAGGGGGACACGCCGCUCAGCCUGGCCCGGGCCGACACCCCCGUGUGGGUGUCGCUCCAGAUCAACAGGAAACUACGGCGAGGAAUUACAAACCGUCUCCUCCGGACCGAGAGAAUCAUAAGCCGGGACAUCGCCCAAGGCUACGAGAACGUGCCCAUCCCCUGCGUGAACGGCGUGGACGAGGAGGGCUGCCCGUCCGACUACAAAUACGUUUCGGAGAACUGCGAAACAUCGGCCAUGAACAUCGACCGGAACAUCACGCACCUGCAGCACUGCGGCUGCACGGACGACUGCUCCUCCAGUAACUGCCUCUGUGGGCAGCUCAGCAUCCGGUGCUGGUACGACAAGGACCAGCGGCUGCUGCAGGAGUUCAACAAGAUCGAGCCUCCGCUCAUCUUUGAGUGCAACAUGGCGUGCUCCUGUUACCGCAGCUGCAAGAACAGAGUGGUUCAGGCCGGCAUCAAAGUCCGGCUGCAGCUCUACAGGACGGAGAAGAUGGGCUGGGGGGUCCGAGCUCUGCAGGACAUCCCCCAAGGGAGCUUCAUCUGCGAGUACGUCGGAGAGCUGAUUUCUGACGCCGAGGCCGACGUCCGAGAAGACGACUCCUACCUGUUCGACCUGGAUAACAAGGACGGGGAGGUGUACUGCAUAGACGCCCGUUACUACGGCAACAUCAGCCGCUUCAUCAACCACCUGUGCGACCCGAACCUCAUCCCGGUGCGGGUCUUCAUGCUGCACCAGGACCUGCGCUUCCCGCGCAUCGCCUUCUUCAGCUCGCGGGACAUCCUGAGCGGGCAGGAGCUGGGGUUCGACUACGGCGACCGCUUCUGGGACAUCAAGAGCAAGUACUUCACCUGCCAGUGCGGCUCGGAGAAAUGCAAACACUCGGCCGAGGCCAUCGCCCUGGAGCAGAGCAGGCUGGCCCGGCUGGAGGCCGGAUCGGAGUCGGGGGGCGACUGCGGGGCGAUGAUGGGGAGCUCGUGAGGCGCGAGGUUCAUGUUUGACUCUCUAAGCUGCCACUUUAUCCUCCCACCUGCAGUAAAGCUGGACUUUUAUCAAAUGUUUGGGUUUCAGCCUCUUUCACUCAUUUCAGUUGUUUUAUUUCGUGCCACCUCAUCGUCCCGGGACCACGUGAAGCCUUAACCCGGACAGACUUGUUAGGACUCGUGUGCUCGUCGAUUGUCUUGUAUUGUUAGCAUUUCAUCUUUAUUUUUAUAUUCCUGAGUAAUAAAAAUAUUGAAAGUUGUUUUGGUUUCA